GACGUAGGGCGCGAGCGUUGUCCGGAUUUAUUGGGCGUAAAGAGCUCGUAGGCGGCUUGUCGCGUCGAAUGUGAAAUCUCAGGGCUCAACUCUGACAUUGCAUUCGAUACGGGCAGGCUCGAGUUCGGUAGGGGAGACUGGAAUUCCUGGUGUAGCGGUGAAAUGCGCAGAUAUCAGGAGGAACACCGGUGGCGAAGGCGGGUCUCUGGGCCAUUACUGACGCUGAGGAGCGAAAGCGUGGGGAGCGAACAGG
rnacentral:rRNA from 1 species